UCUUCAGGCGUAAUUACUUAAUCUCCUUUUGUCAUCUCGGUGAUAUCUUUCUCUACUUUUCGCCCAUUCUACAAAAAUAAUAUCGUUUCCAAUUUUGGCAUUACGCAUUUUUUCGUGCGCCAACUCAGCUUUCUCUCGCUCUUCAAAUUCCACGAAAGCAUACCUAGAAGUGUUAAUAAUUUGCAAAUUAAUAAAGCAUACCGAUGAGCUUGAGGGUUACUUGAAAUGGGAAUAUCACACCGAACUAUUCUACCCCAUCUAUUAUCAUCAAUUAGAACAGAUGCGAUACAAAAAUAGAGAUCACUUGACUGAAAACCAAAGUUGUAAUCUACAAUCAGUCAUUCAAUAACAAUUACUUUUCAAAGGCCUGGCCUAGUGUCCGGGCUCUCAUAUCCGUUCCGAAAUUUCGAAUAUACAAAGUAUGCCCAGGUUUAUAAUUAAACCCUGUUGGCGUAUUUGAUGGUGCAUUAGACAUUAGCUUAAAUUGCAAAAUCUAAUGCUUUCACUAGGCUUUCUACUUUAACCAAAAAAUCAAAGCUAUCACGACGUAAGAAGCACUAGUCAUAACCACACAGUAUAGCAAGAGGACAGGUAAUGUUGUGCAGCAAUGCAAGCACAUAUUAGAGCAGUUGUCUGCUAAGGUAUUUAUAUUUAACUAUGGAUAAUGACUUUUCUUUGAGCUAUAUAAAUUUAAUGAUU